AGUUUAAAGAAAAAUAUUGUAAAUAAAUUCUGCUCAAUGAAAUUAAUUAAAUAGCCGCAGUAAAUUAACUGUGCUAAGGUAGCAUAAUAAUUAGUUUUUUAAUUAAAAACUAGAAUGAAAGAGAAAAUGAAAAAUUAACUUUUUAAUUAUAAUAAAUAAAUAUAAAUUAAUUUAUAAGUUAAAAAUCUUAUAUAAAAUAAAAAGACAAGAAGACCCUUUAGAAUUUUAUAAAUAAAAAAAUUUAAUAAUUAUAAAUUUGAAUAUUUAUUAAGUUGGGGAGACUAUGAAAUAUUAAAAACUUUCACUUUUUUAAAACAAAAAUAAAUGAAUCUAUAAAUAUCCAGUUAACAGCCGAAUAAAAAACAAAUUACCUAAGGGAUAACAGCGUAAAAUUUCUAAAAAGAUCAAAUUUACAGAAUAAAUUACGACCUCGAUGUUGGAUUAAGAAAAAAUUAUAAAGAAGAAUUUAUAAAAAUUAGGUCUGUUCGACCUUUAAUCUCUU
rnacentral:rRNA from 1 species